UGCGGUUAUACAAAAAUUAAAUUAAUUUUUAUUAGAAUUUAAUAAAUAAAAUUAAUUAAUAAAUAAUUUAAAUUUUAAAUUAUAAAGUGAAAUUUUAAUUUAAUUAAAAUUUAUUUUUUUUUUAUGACAUUAAUAAAUUUUAUAAAAAACUAGGAUUAGAUACCCUAUUAUAAAAAUUUAAAUUUACUAAUUCUAAAAUAGUAUAUAAUUUAUAGAAACUUAAAUAAUUUGGCGGUAUUUUAGUUCAUUUAGAGGAAUCUGUCUAAUAAUUGAUAAUCCACGAUUAAAUUUACUUAAUUUAUAAUUUUGUAUAUCGUUGUUAAAAAAAUAUUUUUAAAUAAAUAUAAUAUUUUAAAAUUUAAAUAAAAAAUUAAAUCAGAUCAAGAUGCAGAUUAUAAUUAAGAAUAUGAUGGAUUACAAUAAAUUUUAUUUUAUUUUGGAUAUUAAUUUGAAAUAAAUUAAUUGAAAUUGGAUUUAAAUGUAAUUUUAUUUAUUUUUUUAAAAUGAUUUUAAAUUAAAAUAUGUACAUAUUGCCCGUCGCUUUCAUUUAUAAAUUGAAAUAAGUCGUAACAAAGUAGAGGUACUGGAAAGUGUUUCUAGAAAGAC
rnacentral:rRNA from 1 species